rnacentral:rRNA from 1 species
GACGAACGCUGGCGGCGUGCUUAACACAUGCAAGUCGAACGGAAAGGCCCUGCUUUUGUGGGGUGCUCGAGUGGCGAACGGGUGAGUAACACGUGAGUAACCUGCCCUUGACUUUGGGAUAACUUCAGGAAACUGGGGCUAAUACCGGAUAGGAGCUCCUGCUGCAUGGUGGGGGCUGGAAAGUUUCGGCGGUUGGGGAUGGACUCGCGGCUUAUCAGCUUGUUGGUGGGGUAGUGGCUUACCAAGGCUUUGACGGGUAGCCGGCCUGAGAGGGUGACCGGCCUCAUUGGGACUGAGAUACGGCCCAGACUCCUACGGGAGGCAGCAGUGGGGAAUAUUGCACAAUGGGCGGAAGCCUGAUGCAGCAACGCCGCGUGCGGGAUGACGGCCUUCGGGUUGUAAACCGCUUUCGCCUGUGACGAAGCGUGAGUGACGGUAAUGGGUAAAGAAGCACCGGCUAACUACGUG